rnacentral:lncRNA from 1 species
UUUUUAUUGCUUUCUCUUUACCAAUGAAUCUUGCCGAUUUCAUGAAUACUAAUGUGGGGUUUUACAUGUUUCAGAUUUAAACUUCUUGGUAAAGAUGUUCACGAAUCUUCCACCGUCUUCUUAUUCCACAUGUACUAUCUCACAUAUCUCUCCAUAUAUCUAUAUGUGUAUUUUAUGUUUGAUUGUUUCAACUUUUUCAACUGUAUUUUCAUUAAAAUUUACUCUCGGUUUGUAAACUAAAUUUUUAUAGGAGCGCUAUGUUCUGCAAUAGAUCCCAUGUACGUAUUUCGGGAUCGUCACUGUUGUCACCUCAAUUUUGCUUAUCGCGAGUGAAGAUGGUACUUAUUCUCUUUAUAUAUCUCUUAAUCUCUUCUUUCGCCUGAUCGAUGUCAUGAUCUCUAAAAUAACUGCUGCACAAGAAGUUGAUCAUUAAGAUGAGCAAAAAAAAGAUACAUGCUUUGUUUGUUAAUUGUUGUCUUCUCUUUUAUUUAGCAAACUUAUGUUAUUGACAUGUUUGUUUUAACUUGCUUUUUUUGUAAAUUAGGAAAUGACGAGAAAGUAUGAGAAACUUAAUCAAACAAACAUGCUGUUAACAUGAGUAAACUAAUGUUUUGAUCUAUUCAUUGCGACUCUAGAAAUUUCCUGGUAAAUCUCAUCACCGAUCUCAUCACUGAUCUCAUCACUGCUACCUCUCUAUAUUUAUGUUUGUAUUCUUAUGUUUGAUGUUUGGAUUUCUGAAAAAGAAGAAUGAUCUCACUAUGAUUCUCAUCGGAAAGGAUAUUCUGGAGCAAUCAAACGCCAACAUUCUUCAAAUUCAGGUUACUCUUUAACCUCCUUGCAUAUUUCGAUUGGGAUAUAUUAACUUUGAUAACGAACUGUUGUUAUUCAAGAUUCGUCCUAUUGUUUUAUAUAUUAGCCGUUCCUAUAAAGUUCUCAGUUUCCAAAAAUCGAGUUUUUUUUUGUCGCUGCCAAUUGUUGAAGCCAUAAAAAACGUGUAUUAUGUUACUAUCACGGUAUCCUCUAUGUAGCGUAGAAUGGAGUACAUAAUUAUUCGAUCGAGAUUUCUCCUUCUUUUUUUGUAGUUAAUUUCUCCCUUUUUUUUCUCUAACUUAGUAUCUGUUUUUGUUCAGGUCUCUUAGAUGUGAAAUGUUCAUCCGUGAAGCUUUUUCACGAUGGGUGAGUAUCCUUUUGCUCGAUGGGUCUGGUAAAAUAUUGUUACUUUAAAAAUAAAAACCUGAAACUGAAAUAUGUUUGUUUAGUUUGAUUUGGGGUAUUUUUUUAUUUUGUUUUGAGCAUAGGUAUUUUGUUUUGAUUAUCAGAAAAAUUAAUAAUAUUUUUUGGAAUUAUGUUAUAGGAAAGAAGUUGUGUACGUAUAACAACAAUUUGAAGAUAGAGAAUGGUUCCAAGCUAAUUGACUCCUCUUUAAUUAAGUUUUGGUGGUGUAGUUUCAAAUUUGUUAUUACUGUUCCUAAUUAUUACCCUUACUCCAUUGUAACAGGUAGGUCAUAUUUUCAUCAGUUUGUAUUUUUUAAAUGACCC